GGAGGGUCCAGCUGCAGUCGGCCAAGGAGAACAGUUGAUCAACCGUGUGAGUUGCAGAUUUCUGCACACCUGCUUCUUCUGCGGCGGUGCUCACACCCGGUCCUCCUGUCCACACAACUCCACCUGACUAGCACGCCACCUGGCCACGCCCAUUAAGAAAUUCAGGGCAUUGGUGCCUACAGCAGACCCUCAUCCGACACCGGUCCCUCCGUUUUCAGCCACAAUCUUCAAGUGACUCCGCAGCUUGCUGGCCUCUCCCACGUUUCACAACAAGCCAUCCUCAACAGCCUCGCCCUUCGUACCCUCUCGGCAUAUCUGACAGGCUGGCUCAGCAUCAAAUCAUACCACGUAACGUACAAUUUACCUUUUCCCACUCUCCAUACCAUGUCCAUCUGUCAUUUCAUCACCCAUUCACAUUCCAUUCUUCGAAUUCGCAUUUCCACCAUCCGAACCUACCUUUCAGGUAUCAAUUUUUUUCUUUAAGCUGGCCACAGGCAACUCCUGUCCAGC